rnacentral:rRNA from 1 species
GACGAACGCUGGCGGCGUGCUUAACACAUGCAAGUCGAACGGAAAGGCCUCUUUCGGGGGGUACUCGAGUGGCGAACGGGUGAGUAACACGUGAGUAACCUGCCCUUGACUUUGGGAUAACUUCAGGAAACUGGGGCUAAUACCGGAUAGGAGCUCCUGCUGCAUGGUGGGGGUUGGAAAGUUUCGGCGGUUGGGGAUGGACUCGCGGCUUAUCAGCUUGUUGGUGGGGUAGUGGCUUACCAAGGCUUUGACGGGUAGCCGGCCUGAGAGGGUGACCGGCCACAUUGGGACUGAGAUACGGCCCAGACUCCUACGGGAGGCAGUAGUGGGGAAUAUUGCACAAUGGGUGGAAGCCUGAUGCAGCAACGCCGGGUGCGGGAUGACGGCCUUCGGGUUGUAAACCGCUUUCGCUCAUGACGAAGCUUUGUGUGACGGUAGUGGGUAAAGAAGCACCGGCUAACUACGUG